rnacentral:rRNA from 1 species
GAUGAACGCUGGCGACGUGCCUAAUACAUGCAAGUCGAGCGAACGGACGAGAGGCUUGCUUCUCUGAUGUUAGCGGCGGACGGGUGAGUAACACGUGGAUAACCUACCUAUAAGACUGGGAUAACUUCGGGAAACCGGAGCUAAUACCGGAUAAUAUUUUGAACCGCAUGGUUCAAAAGUGAAAGACGGUCUUGCUGUCACUUAUAGAUGGAUCCGCGCUGCAUUAGCUAGUUGGUAAGGUAACGGCUUACCAAGGCAACGAUGCAUAGCCGACCUGAGAGGGUGAUCGGCCACACUGGAACUGAGACACGGUCCAGACUCCUACGGGAGGCAGCAGUAGGGAAUCUUCCGCAAUGGGCGAAAGCCUGACGGAGCAACGCCGCGUGAGUGAUGAAGGUCUUCGGAUCGUAAAACUCUGUUAUUAGGGAAGAACAUAUGUGUAAGUAACUGUGCACAUCUUGACGGUACCUAAUCAGAAAGCCACGGCUAACUACGUG